rnacentral:tRNA from 2 species
GCGGUGGUCGUAUAACGGCAUUACCCCAGCUUCCCAAGCUGGAGACGCGGGUUCGACUCCCGUCCACCGCU